rnacentral:rRNA from 1 species
GAUGAACGCUGGCGGCGUGCCUAAUACAUGCAAGUCGAGCGAACAGACGAGGAGCUUGCUCCUCUGACGUUAGCGGCGGACGGGUGAGUAACACGUGGAUAACCUACCUAUAAGACUGGGAUAACUUCGGGAAACCGGAGCUAAUACCGGAUAAUAUAUUGAACCGCAUGGUUCAAUAGUGAAAGACGGUUUUGCUGUCACUUAUAGAUGGAUCCGCGCCGCAUUAGCUAGUUGGUAAGGUAACGGCUUACCAAGGCAACGAUGCGUAGCCGACCUGAGAGGGUGAUCGGCCACACUGGAAAUGAGACACGGUCCAGACUCCUACGGGAGGCAGCAGUAGGGAUUCUUCCGCAAUGGGAGAAAGCCGGACGGAGCAACGCCGCGUGAGUGAUGAAGGUCUUCGGAUCGUAAAACUCUGUUAUUAGGGAAGAACAAAUGUGUAAGUAACUAUGCACGUCUUGACGGUACCUAAUCAGAAAGCCACGGCUAACUACGUG